CCCUUAGAUGUUCGGGGCCGCACGCGCGCUACACUGAAGGAAUCAGCACGUCUUUCUCCUUGUCCGAAAGGACUGGGUAACCCGCUGAACCUCCUUCGUGCUAGGGAUUGGGGCUUGUAAUUCUUCCCCAUGAACGAGGAAUUCCCAGUAAGCGCGAGUCAUAAGCUCGCGUUGAUUACGUCCCUGCCCUUUGUACACACCGCCCGUCGCUACUACCGAUUGGAUGGUUUAGUGAGAUCCUCGGAUUGGUCCCGGCGCGGCCUCUGGUCGUGCCGGAGUGCCGAAAAGAAUGUCGAACUUGAUCACCUAGAGGAAGUAAAAGUCGUAACA
rnacentral:rRNA from 1 species